rnacentral:rRNA from 4 species
GAAACGACUGCUAAGACUGGAUAGGAGACAAGAAGGCAUCUUUUUGUUUUUAAAAGACCUAGCAAUAGGUAUGCUUAGGGAGGAGCUUGCGUCACAUUAGUUAGUUGGUGGGGUAAAGGCUUACCAAGACUAUGAUGUGUAGCCGGGCUGAGAGGUUGAACGGCCACAUUGGGACUGAGACACGGCCCAAACUCCUACGGGAGGCAGCAGUAGGGAAUUUUCGGCAAUGGAGGAAACUCUGACCGAGCAACGCCGCGUGAACGAUGAAGUAUUUCGGUACGUAAAGUUCUUUUAUUAGGGAAGAAUAAAUGAUGGAAAAAUCAUUCUGACGGUACCUAAUGAAUAAGCCCCGGCUAACUAUGUGCCAGCAGCCGCGGUAAUACAUAGGGGGCAAGCGUUAUCCGGAAUUAUUGGGCGUAAAGGGUGCGUAGGCGGUUAAAUAAGUUUAUGGUCUAAGUGCAAUGCUUAACAUUGUGAUGCUAUAAAAACUGUUUAGCUAGAGUAAGAUAGAGGCAAGUGGAAUUCCAUGUGUAGUGGUAAAAUGCGUAAAUAUAUGGAGGAACACCAGUAGCGAAGGCGGCUUGCUGGGUCUUUACUGACGCUGAGGCACGAAAGCGUGGGGAGCAAACAGGAUUAGAUACCCUGGUAGUCCACGCCGUAAACGAUGAGUACUAAAUGUUGGGUAAAACCAGUGUUGAAGUUAACACAUUAAGUACUCCGCCUGAGUAGUACGUACGCAAGUAUGAAACUUAAAGGAAUUGACGGGACUCCGCACAAGCGGUGGAUCAUGUUGUUUAAUUCGAAGGUACCCGAAAAACCUCACCAGGUCUUGACAUGCUUCUGCAAAGCUGUAGAAACACAGUGGAGGUUAUCAGUUGCACAGGUGGUGCAUGGUUGUCGUCAGCUCGUGUCGUGAGAUGUUGGGUUAAGUCCCGCAACGAGCGCAACCCUUAUUGUUAGUUGCCAGCACGUAAUGGUGGGGACUUUAGCAAGACUGCCAGUGAUAAAUUGGAGGAAGGUGGGGACGACGUCAAAUCAUCAUGCCCCUUAUGACCUGGGCUACAAACGUGAUACAAUGGCUGUUACAAAGGGUAGCUGAAACGCAAGUUUUUGGCGAAUCUCAAAAAAACAGUCUCAGUUCGGAUUGAAGUCUGCAACUCGACUUCAUGAAGUUGGAAUCGCUAGUAAUCGCGAAUCAGCAUGUCGCGGUGAAUACGUUCUCGGGGUUUGUACACACCGCCCGUCA